rnacentral:misc_RNA from 1 species
GUUUUAUUGAAUUAAGGCGUGGAUGCUUAAUAGAUGUAAAUAACUGAAAGAAACAGUGAGAAUUUUUCUUUUCAAGAGACAAGGAGAAUUGAUGAGCCAUUGGCUUCUGCAUCAUGAUUGUUAGAACUUUUUUGAGUUCAGUAUAUUCAACUCUGGGAAUUAAUUAUCUACUUGGGGAACAUAGAAAUUGGAUCAAGCCUGUGGAGAGGCUUCCAUUACAGGGCUGAGUUUAAGGUGUGGGGGC